rnacentral:lncRNA from 1 species
UGCUUAUUGGUCCUGCUAUAAGGCCAGGUCGCAGUGUCUCUCACCUGGAUCUGCUACAGUCAUGAUUGAAAAUUGCUGACUUACACAGGUAAUAGACUCUCUUUAAAGAUAUCUCUCUAAUGUAUUUACUUUCCAGAAAGCAAAAUGCCAGGCUGCUAACAGAUGAGUUGUUUGUACUUUAAAAGUUUACUGUUCCAGUUAGGACAUUCUUGAUGGUAUUUUGUAUUCUCUUUGCAGUGCAGCCAGCUGAUUCAUGCUGUAUUCUGAAGGUUAUGAGUCUCCAUGUGAUGUUAAGAACUAUAUGUCUGAACCAUUAAAGAAGAAGUGUAUAAAAUGCAAUGCUGCUCAGUGGAAGUAUAUGAACCAGAAGUAUUUCAUUUUAUGCCACGGCUCUGGUUACAUUUGUAGCUUUUGAGCACUGGCAUGUCUUCUACUUUCUCUCACUUUUGGAGUUAUAGCUGUCUUCUCUGUUGGAAAAACAUAGAGCAAGGUUGUUACCAGAUAAGCUUUCUGUAUUUAUUAGAUAUAUUUUCAAUUCAACUCAAAAAUGCCUAUAUCUACUGAGUUACUGCUGUAAGUAAGGUUUAUGGCUAGAUGCCAAGAGGCCUACCAAGCUGAUUAUGACAUAGCUCCUGUUUUUUUUUUUUUUUGGUGGAGGAGGGAGCUUGUAAGUACACCCAUAACUGAAAGGCAUGGCAGAAUGUGCUAGAGAUUCUCAGAGGAGUACAAAGAAAUAGAUUCAAAAAGAAGGGAGAAACAUUUGUUUAGAAGAUGUGGAAAAAUUGCAUGAAAAAAUAUCUUUUGAGAUGUGCACUGAAAGAUGAGUAGGAUUUGAAAAGACAGAGCUUGUUCAGGGUAAAGGAAUUCCAGGAAAAAGGAACAUCAUGAAUUCAGCUAUAAAAUCUGGGAAAGUGUGAAGUACAAUUGAAGAAGAAUGGGUAGUCAUGGCUGAGGCCUUGGGGGCUUAUAGAGGAAUAGACAGAUCUUUGCCCAUCUAAGCCUCCUACUCCCCUCUCUAGUGUAUAUGAGUUAUAACCCAAUCAAAGACUACGUUUCCCAUAUUACUUUGGAAUGGAGGCAGAAAUGAUGGGUUAUUUCCAGGCCUCAUGUGCCAGUUAGAUAUUAAAUUAUGGGAUAACCUUGAAAGCCUCAUAUUGAAGUUGAUAUAGCUUCUGUCAGCUUGGAUGCUGAAUGACUGAGUGGAGCAGAGCACUCCCUACCUUUCCUUUCCUACCUUGAGUAGGAAAAGGAAAAAAAAAUCCCUUCAGUGUGUUAAGCCACUGAGAUAUUGAGUUUUCUUAAGGCAGCUGUUGUUUACCUUUAAUGUGGCAGUUAAAAGGGAAGGAUAGACUUGGCCUAUGUUUUUACAACUCAGCAUGAUAUAGUAGAAAAAACUGUAGUCUAGAAAACAUGGAUUUCACUUAUUUAUUUGUUCAUUCAUUCAUUUGCUCAUUCAUUCAUUCAUUUGCUCAUUCAUUCACUCAUUCAUUCAUUUCAUAUUUAUUGAGAUUUUACAGACUGUCAAAUCUGAAUGCUGGACAUGUUAUGAUUAACAAUGCAUAGUUCAUGGCCCUAUGGAACAUACGGUGGAGUGGAAGAGAAUGAAAUAUAACCAGGCUGUGAGGAUACACUGCAAUGUCUUAUUUCCCAAAGUGUGGUCCUCAGACCAGCAGCAUCAGCGUCACUCAGGAGCUUGUUAGAAAUGCAGAAUCUCAGGCCCCACUCUCAAAUCAACAGAAUCAUAGACUGCAUUUUUGACAAGAUUCUAAGGUGAUUUGUGGGCACAUUAAAGUUUGAGAAGCCCUGGUAAAAUGAGUGGUAUUGUAGGGACAGGCAGGGGGCAAUGAGGACUCAAAGAAAGGACACUUAGACUUGAAAGUUUCCAGAAGGCUCCCUAGACUAGAUGGCAGCUAAACUGGCUUGUGAGCAGCACGUUUUGGUCAUAAAGAUUGUGCGAAUUUGGGUAAGCCACAUAUGUUCAGCUUUGAUUUUCUUGUCUAUAAAAAUAGGGAUAGUAUUACGAGGCUGUUUUGAGCUUCAGGACCUUCCAAGAUUGUUUUGAAGCUCAAAUAUAUGUAAAAGUAAGAGUGAUUUGAAUACUCAAAAACUGAAUAUGAAUGGAAAACUUAUACUUUUUCAGCGACAGUUAAAUUAUAGAAAAGAUGUGUUCUUUGGCAUAAUAAUGCAUUUUAGCAGUGUUUAGUAAGAAAAAAUAUCUAGUAUGGAUUCUUUGUUUUGAUUAAACACAGAACUGAAAGAAGUUUUUCCUCCUACUUAUUGCAGAAGGGUGUAACAUCUGAAAAAUAGGUCUGGUAUGUUGGUCAAAUAGAGUGUCUGCUGGAGUUGGAAAAUGCAUUCUCUUGGGGUUUGUGCAGUCUGGACUUCAAUCAUUUGUGUUCUUAUAUAGUGUAUCCAAAAUAUACAUAGAGACAGUGGGAAGGGACUUUCUUCUGGCUAGGGGAAACAUCAAUUCCUUGACACAAACAAAAAUUGAAUUAAGAGUUUAUUCUGAAUUAAUAGUACUGAGGAAGGUUAAUGAAAAAUAAACAAAGAGUAGUCAUUAAUUAAAAAUAUUAGCAAUCCAGUAAUAUAGUCUCCGUAUGGAGCAUCCUCACUACUAACAGGCAUCUUUAGCAUUUAUUAGAUUUCAGGCAAGGCUCUCUUUAGUAGCCUUUGUUCAGGCACACAAAAUGACCUGCUCCUUUAUACUUCUGUACUUUUAAACAAUCUAUUUAUUUAUUUAGAUGGAGUCUCACUCUGUCACCCAGGCUGGAGUGCAGUGGCACGAUCUUGGCUUAAUGCAGCCUCUGCCUCCUGGGUUCAAGCGAUUCUCGUGCCUCACCCUCCCGGGUAGCAUGUGCCUGCCACCACGCCCAGCUAAUUUUUGUAUUUUUAGUAGAGACGGGGUUUCACCAUGUUGGCCAGGGUGGUCUUGAACUCCUGACCUCAAGUUAUCCACCUGCCUUGGCCUCCCAAAGUGCUGGGAUUACAGGCAUGAGCCACCUCAACCAGCCCUUCUAUGCUUUUGCACAUGGUUUUUCCCUUUGCCUGGACUGUUCUUCCUCAUCUUGAUCACCUCGGCCGCCAUCUCAGCCACCAGAAGACUUCCUGCAAGACUUGGUUCAGACAUCACAGUUCAGACAGGAUGAAGCCUUUAUCAACCUUCCUCUGUAGUGCCAUGCAGGCAAGAAAAGUGUAUUGAAUUACACUGUGUCCGUCAUUCAAUGUGUUUAUCUCACACCUGAUACUGUGACAGCCUGAGGACUGUACUGUGUCAACUCAUUUCUUAUCCUUAGCAUCUGGCAUGGUGCCCAGCACAUAACAGGUCCUAAAUAAAUGUUUGUUGAAUGAAUAUAAAAGUCUGGCAGCUUUAAGAAUAAAUAAAUAAACAAAAAACUUCGUUCUAAUCCUGAUGGAAGUUUAGUUACUUCUGUCUCUCAGAAGGGGAAUCCUGUCAAAUAGUCUAACAAUGUGUAAAAGGAGGUAGUUACUCACAGAUCUUAGAGGUUUCUAUCAAAACAUGCUUAGAUAUUAAUAGGUACCUAACAUUAGAAAUUCCUUAACCCAGAAAGGCUACUUAUAGAAAUUUAUCUUAAGGUAAUUAAGAAUGUGCAUAAAGACCUAGCUAUAAAGAUGAUCAUUUUAUUCUGUUUAUAAUACCAAAACACUGUAAAUGUGCUACGUAGCCAACAAUUGUGUAUUAGUUAAAUAAAUUAUAGUAUAAAAUUAAAGCGAUGAUGUAAAAUGUAUUUACUAAUUUGGAAUGAUAUUCAUGUUACAAUUUUUCUA